GAACCAGCUUAGCCCAGAGGUUCCUUCAAAAUACAUUAGCCUUGCCAAUGUUAGCAGUUUGAGUCCCAUGGGCACACCUGGCCUUUUA
rnacentral:vault_RNA from 1 species